GUGAGUAACACGUAGAUAAUCUACCUUCAAGCCUGGGAUAACUAUUCGAAAGGAUGGCUAAUACCGGAUGAAGUGUUUUGACAUAAGCUGAAACAUGAAAGAUUGCCUCUUCUUGAAAGCAAUUGUUUGGAGAUGAGUUUGCGGACCAUUAGUUUGUUGGUGGGGUAAAGGCCUACCAAGACUACGAUGGUUAGCUGGUCUGAGAGGAUGAUCAGCCACACUGGAACUGGUACACGGUCCAGACUCC
rnacentral:rRNA from 1 species